GAGCCAGUGCUUCCUGAGGGAGUGAGGAAACACUGAAAGAGAGUUCUUACUGCUGAGCUCGUACAACACAUCAUCAUGUAAAGGAGUGUGGCCGUCACCUUACAUGCCCUGUCCUGAGAUGUAAUUCAUAUUGGAACUCCACAUGGGAAGCUGCGUGUACAUUAGAGUUGUUGUCAGAUCCAUUUCCUGGAAAUCUUGGAAUGUCCAUCUGGCUUGCAGCACAAGCAGUCUGGGAUUCCCUCCUGCAUCUGCUCUGCUCACACACAGCAACCUGGGACUGGGAGAGAUGUAUAAUCAUGAGGGUGAAAAGAAAUAAGGUCGAGGAAAU